rnacentral:lncRNA from 1 species
GACCUAUUUGGAAGCCGGCAUGGACAAUCUGAUAGAGAAAAAAAAAAUGAGGAAAACUGAGGUCAAGAGGGUUAAGUGACUUGCCCAUGGCCACACAGCUAGAAAUCUAGGAAAGCCUUCUGU